GACACCUCGUGAGGAGAGGAGCCUG
rnacentral:piRNA from 1 species